AUUUAUAUCAUUUUGCUUUCUAAUUUUCCAAAACUAAAUUUUUUUUUUUGAUAUAUGUCCCACCAUAAAUUCUUAAAAAUUCUUAAUAUAUCUCAAGAAAGGAUUUCAACCGAGAAGAAAAGAUUUGGGAGAGAAGAUUAUCCUCUGCAAUCUUUCCUUCUUGACACUCCCCCAGUAACGGCAUCUCCGAUGUUCAAGUUGCCCAGAACUUCCUUGAAGAAUUUGGUGUUGACUGCCUUGGUCAAGAUGUCUGCCAACUGAUGUUCGGACUUACCGAAUGGAAGCUCAAUAACUCCCUCAUCUAGUUUCUCCUUGAUGAAGUGACGAUCGACUUCUACAUGUGUGGUUCGAUCAUGUUGAACUGGAUUUUCGGAUAUACUGAUUGCUGCCUUGUUGUCGCAGUAUAGUCGGCUGCUUUGUGUAGGUGUACGCCGCCAAUCGGAGAGUCGUGCUUGCUGACGUGUUGGCGGUGCUCGGCUCCGAUGAGACUGUCGGGGAUUCCGGUGAUGAUGACGUGGCUUCGAGAUUGUGAUUUUACAUGUGGGCCCCAUUAGAUAUAUAGCCGUUUUUACGGUCGUGGAGUCGUGCCUUCUAUAUUAUCGCUUUAAUUUUUCUAGAGAAUCAAGUUUCAAUACAUGUACUGUCAUUUUCUCUUUAAUUUUUACUAGAUGUUUCUAUUUUAUAAAAAUGUACUGUUUCAAUUAGAGUGAGAUACCCGCAUAAUGAAAAUGUGUCAGUUAAAAGUCUGGACGAAUAAAGUAUUAUUCAAUA